rnacentral:lncRNA from 1 species
GUAACUUUAGGCAGACGUACACACUAAGUAACUAUAGGCAGACGUACACACUCUAAGUAACUAUAGGCAGACGUACACACUAAGUAACUAUAGGCAGACGUACACACUCGAAGUAACUAUAGCCAGACGUAUACACACUAAGUAACUAUAGGCAGACGUAUACACACUAAGUAACUAUAGGCAGACGUAUACACUCUAAGUAACUAUAGGCAGACGUAUACACACUAAGUAACUACAUGCAGACACGUACACACUAAGUAACUUUAGGCAGACGUACACACUAAGUAACUAUAGGCAGACGUAUACACACUAAGUAACUAUAGGCAGACGUACACACUAAGUAACUAUAGGCAGACGUAUACACUCUAAGUAACUAUAGGCAGACGUACACACUAAGUAACUAUAGGCAGACGUAUACACACUAAGUAACUAUAGGCAGACGUACACACUAAGUAACUAUAGGCAGACGUAUACACACUAAGUAACUAUAGGCAGACGUACACACUAAGUAACUUUAGGCAGACGUACACACUAAGUAACUAUAGGCAGACGUACACACUAAGUAACUAUAGGCAGACGUAUACACACUAAGUAACUAUAGGCAGACGUACACACUAAGUAACUAUAGGCAGACGUAUACACUCUAAGUAACUAUAGGCAGACGUACACACUAAGUAACUAUAGGCAGACGUACACACUCGAAGUAACUAUAGGCAGACGUAUACACUCUAAGUAACUAUAGGCAGACGUACACACUAAGUAACUAUAGGCAGACAUAUACACUCUAAGUAACUAUAGGCAGACGUACACACUAAGUAGCUAUAGGCAGACGUACACACUCUAAGUAACUAUAGGCAGACGUAUACACACUAAGUAACUAUAGGCAGACGUACACACUAAGUAAAGAUAGGCAGACGUACACACUAAGUAACUAUAGGCAGACGUAUACACACUAAGUAACUAUAGGUAGACGUACACACUAAAUAACUAUAGGCAGACGUAUACACACUAAGUAACUAUAGGCAGACGUGUACACACUAAGUAACUAUAGGCAGACGUACACACUAAGUAACUUUAGGCAGACGUACACACUAAGUAACUAUAGGAAGACGUACACACUAAGUAACUAUAGGCAGACGUACACACUAAGUAACUUUUGGCAGACGUAUACACACUAAGUAACUAUAGGCAGACGUACACACUAAGUAACUAUAGGCAGACGUAUACACACUAAGUAACUAUAGGCAGACGUACACACUAAGUAACUUUAGGCAGACGUAUACACACUAAGUAACUUUAGGCAGACGUACACACUAAGUAACUAUAGGCAGACGUAUACACACUAAGUAACUAUAGGCAGACGUAUACACACUAAGUAACUAUAGGCAGACGUACACACUAAGUAACUAUAGGCAGACGUAUACACACUAAGUAACUAUAGGCAGACGUACACACUAAGUAACUUUAGGCAGCCGUACACACUAAGUAUCUAUAGGCAGACGUAUACACACUAAGUAACUAUAGGCAGACGUACACACUAAGUAACUUUAGGCAGACGUAUACACACUAAGUAACUAUAGGCAGACGUACACACUAAGUAACUAUAGGCAGACGUAUACACACUAAGUAACUAUAGGCAGACGUACACACUAAGUAACUAUAGGCAGACGUAUACACUCUAAGUAACUAUAGGCAGAUGUGCACACUAAGUAACUAUAGGCAGACGUAUACACACUAAGUAACUAUAGGCAGACGUACACACUAAGUAACUAUAGGCAGACGUAUACACUCUAAGUAACUAUAGGCAGACGUAUACACUCUAAGUAACUAUAGGCAGACGUAUACACACUAAGUAACUAUAAUCAGACGUAUACACACUAAGUAACUAUAAGCAGACGUAUACACUCUAAGUAACUAUAGGCAGAUGUGCACACUAAGUAACUAUAGGCAGACGUAUACACACUAAGUAACUAUAGGUAGACGUACACACUAAGUAACUAUAGGCAGACGUAUACACACUAAGUAACUAUAGGCAGACGUACACACUAAGUAACUAUAGGCAGACGUACACACUAAGUAACUUUAGGCAGACGUACACACUAAGUAACUAUAGGCAGACGUACACACUAAGUAACUAUAGGCAGACGUACACACUAAGUAACUAUAGGCAGACGUACACACUCUAAGUAACUAUAGGCAGACGUACACACUAAGUAACUAUAGGCAGACGUACACACUCGAAGUAACUAUAGCCAGACGUAUACACACUAAGUAACUAUAGGCAGACGUAUACACACUAAGUAACUAUAGGCAGACGUAUACACUCUAAGUAACUAUAGGCAGACGUAUACACACUAAGUAACUAUAGGCAGACGUAUACACUCUAAGUAACUAUAGGCAGACAUGUACACACUCUAAGUAACUAUAGGCAGACGUACACACUAAGUAACUAUAGGCAGACGUACACACUCAAAGUAACUAUAGGCAGACGUAUACACUCUAAGUAACUAUAGGCAGACGUACACACUAAGUAACUAUAGGCAGACGUAUACACUCUAAGUAACUAUAGGCAGACGUACACACUAAGUAACUAUAGGCAGACGUACACACUCUAAGUAACUAUAGGCAGACGUAUACACACUAAGUAACUAUAGGCAGACGUACACACUAAGUAAAGAUAGGCAGACGUACACACUAAGUAACUAUAGGCAGACGUAUACACACUAAGUAACUAUAGGUAGACGUACACACUAAAUAACUAUAGGCAGACGUACACACUAAAUAACUAUAGGCAGACGUGUACACACUAAGUAACUAUAGGCAGACGUGUACACACUAAGUAACUAUAGGCAGACGUACACACUAAGUAACUUUAGGCAGACAUACACUCUAAGUAACUAUAUGCAGAUGUGCACACUAAGUAACUUUAGGCAGACGUAUACACACUAAGUAACUAUAGGCAGUCGUAUACACUCUAAGUAACUAUAGGCAGACGUAUACACACUAAGUAACUAUAUGCAGACGUAUACACUCUAAGUAACUAUAGGCAGACAUGUACACACUCUAAGUAACUAUAGGCAGACGUACACACUAAGUAACUAUAGGCAGACGUACACACUCAAAGUAACUAUAGGCAGACGUACACACUAAGUAACUAUAGGCAGACGUAUACACUCUAAGUAACUAUAGGCAGACGUACACACUAAGUAACUAUAGGCAGACGUACACACUCUAAGUAACUAUAGGCAGACGUAUACACACUAAGUAACUAUAGGCAGACGUACACACUAAGUAAAGAUAGGCAGACGUACACACUAAGUAACUAUAGGCAGACGUAUACACACUAAGUAACUAUAGGCAGACGUACACACUAAGUAACUAUAGGCAGACGUACACACUAAGUAAC